rnacentral:rRNA from 1 species
UCUCAGUUCAGAUUUGCAGGCUGCAACUCGCCUGCAUGAAGUCGGAAUUGCUAGUAAUCGCAGAUCAGCAUGCUGCGGUGAAUACGUUCCCGGGCCUUGUACACACCGCCCGUCACACCAUGGGAGUCGGUAACACCCGAAGUCGGUAGCCUAACCGUAAGGAGGGCGCCGCCGAAGGUGGGAUUGAUGACUGGGGUGAAGUCGUAACAAGGUACC